rnacentral:rRNA from 1 species
AGCUCCAAUAGCGUAUAUUAAAGUUGUUGCAGUUAAAAAGCUCGUAGUUGGAUUUGUGGUUGGAGGGUUCUGCCGUUCGCUUAGCGUUCGUGUUUGAACGUCUCCGUCCAUCCUUGGGUGGAUCCUGCGUGGCAUUCAGUUGUCGUGUAGGGGAUGCCCAUCGUUUACUGUGAAAAAAUUAGAGUGUUCAAAGCAGGCUUACGCCUUGAAUAUAUUAGCAUGGAAUAAUGAGAUAGGACCUGGGUACUAUUUUGUUGGUUUGCGCACCGAGGUAAUGAUUAAUAGGGACAGUUGGGGGUAUUCGUAUUUCAUUGUCAGAGGUGAAAUUCUUGGAUUUCUGAAAGACGAACUACUGCGAAAGCAUUUACCAAGGAUGUUUUCA